GUGAGGAAUUUUCCGCAAUGGACGAAAGUCUGACGGAGCAAUCCCGCGUGGAGGAUGACACCUUUCGGGGCGUAAACUCCUUUUCUGAAGGAAGACAUUCUGACGGUACUUCAGGAAUAAAGGGCGGCUAACUACGUGCCAGCAGCCGCGGUAAUACGUAGGCCCUAAGCGUUAUCCGAAAUCACUGGGCGUAAAGCGAUCGAAGGCGGACUAGUAAGUGAGGUGUUAAAUACCUGCGGCUUAACCGAGGUGCUGCACUUCAAACUGCUAGACUAGAGGAAUGCAGAGGAAACUGGAAUUCCUGUUGUAGGGGUAAAAUCCGUAGAUAACAGGAGGAACACCAAAAGCGAAAGCAGGUUUCUGGGCAUUUCCUGACGCUGCGCGAUCGAAAGCGUGGGGAGCGAAAGGGAUUAGAAACCCGUGUAGUCC
rnacentral:rRNA from 1 species